rnacentral:misc_RNA from 1 species
AGUUAAACAGUACGUGAAAUUGUUGAAAGGGAAACGAUUGAAGCCAGUCGUACCUUCGGGUAAUCAGCCUUUCGGGUGCGAUUCUGUGGAGUUUGAGGAGCUUAACACCUUCAUGCUUUGCAUAUUCGUGCUCUUGGGUGUACUUGCCCGUGUGGUUGGUUAACAUCAAUUUCGGGCACCAUAAAAUGGCUGGAGGAAUGUAGCUUCGAUCUUGUAUUGAAGUGUUAUAGCCUUCGGUAGAUGUGGUGAUCGAGAUUGAGGAUUGCAACGGAUACCUUUCGGGGCUACCUGUCUGAUCUCUGAUCGUUGUUUUGGUGCUGAAAGCGUGCUUAUAGUUAUCAAAGUCGAUGGUCAAUAGGUUAGAAUGGGUUAAAUUCGUUAAGGAUGUUGACGUAAUGGCUUUAAA